GUGCGGGGAGCGCCGGGAAUAGGAUGGGAACGGCCUCCGGGGGCUCGGCCCUCAAGCUGCCCGGGCCUUGUGCAGCGCUGCAGCUGGGAUUCCAGCUACCGUACCAACUGUGAGAAGCAGUGAGGAAACUCGGACCUUACAGAUAAAUCAGCGACACUCACUCGGCCCUCGCGGCGCCGGGACGGAGCUGACCCCGCCGCCCGUACCCCCAGGUCGGCUCCUCUUUUCCUCUCUGCUGGGAUGAACUCCCUAGGGAAUGCCAUUUCCAGCAGCCUGGUCUGCUGGAAAAAGGAGGAGAGGAGGAGGAAAUGUGCUGCCAGAGCUUUGUCCCAUCAGGUUGUGUUUCCCCCUGGAGACAGAGAUCUGAGUCUCUGGGCCGAGGUGAAAUUGCUGAGUGCUUGGAUGAGUGUGAAAUACAAAGCUGUGUUUCCUAUCAGGUACAUACAGGCAACGUGUGUAUUUGUGAUUGUGACAUGUGUGGAAACCGACCAUGGGACAGUCAUAAAGACAAAUUCUAAUAAACAACUGAGGAAUUAAAGCAUGGAAGAAGACCUUUGAACCUAUCCUUUGUGUGCAAUUGACCUUUAUAAGUCUUAAGUUGAUUUAUGAGCAUUUGAAUUAAAGCGUUAAGGAUGUUGCUUUUUGACAGGAACUUUCUGCUUGUAGUUAAGCCUUAAAGAGUUUUGCAAUAUUAACCUUUUGAAGUAUAAUUUUAGAAUAUUGCUUUUUGCAAAAGGAUCUUUGAAACUAUAGCUUUAGAAUAUAUAAAAAGGAAACAUGCUUAUCUCACACCUUAAAGAAACAGUGAAAAGCAGCUUGAGAAAGGAAGAUGAACAUCAACUCAAGGAUUAAUAGUUUCGACCAAGAGAAGCUGGACAUCACUGUUAUAAGAUUUAUAAUCCUUGCAAUCAAAAGGUGGACCCACAUCUGGAGAGCUGGAUACUUCUUCCUUCUUUUGGAAACCAGACCACCACCAUCUGGGGAUACUCCUUUCUGGGAAACAUCCUGAGAAAAACUAAAUCACAAUAGUAUAUAGAAUUGUGAUGUAAAAAUUGGGAAUAGAAACUGCUGAUGAGUAAAAAUUGGGAAUAGAAACUGCUGAGAAAGCUUAUGAGUGUCCCUAUAAAUACCUGUAAGCCUCAACUAUCGGUGUGCAGUUGGAGGGAAAACUUCCCCCACUGGACCCAGCGCUGUGUUGCUCAUACUUUACCAUAUUAAUUAAUAAAUUGAUUGCUACUUGUA